rnacentral:rRNA from 1 species
GUUGUAUGGUUAAGUGACUAAGCGUACAUGGUGGAUGCCUUGGCAGUCAGAGGCGAUGAAGGACGUACUAACCUGCGAUAAGCUGUGAGAAGUCGGUAAGAGACGCUAUUACUCACAGAUUUCCGAAUGGGGAAACCCACCCGAGAUAACU